AGUGAACGCUGGCGGUAGGCCUAACACAUGCAAGUCGAACGGCAGCACAGUAAGAGCUUGCUCUUACGGGUGGCGAGUGGCGGACGGGUGAGGAAUACAUCGGAAUCUACUUUUUCGUGGGGGUUAACGUAGGGAAACUUACGCUAAUACCGCAUACGACCUACGGGUGAAAGCAGGGGAUCUUCGGACCUUGCGCGAUUGAAUGAGCCGAUGUCGGAUUAGCUAGUUGGCGGGGUAAAGGCCCACCAAGGCGACGAUCCGUAGCUGGUCUGAGAGGAUGAUCAGCCGCCUGGGAACUGAGACACGGUCCAGACUCCUACGGGAGGCAGCAGUGGGGAAUAUUGGGCAAUGGGCGCAAACCUGAUCCAGCCAUACCGCGUGGGUGACGAAGGCCUUCGGGUUGUAAAGCCCUUUUGUUGGGAAAGAAAAGCAGCAGGUUAAUACCCCGCUGUUCUGACGGUACCCAAAGAAUAAGCACCGGCUAACUUCGUG
rnacentral:rRNA from 1 species